AACGAACGCUGGCGGCAUGCCUAACACAUGCAAGUCGAACGAGACCUCCGGGUCUUGUGGCGCACGGGUGCGUAACGCGUGGGAACCUGCCCUUAGGUUCGGAAUAACUCCCCGAAAGGGGUGCUAAUACCGGAUAAUGUCUUCGGACCAAAGAUUUAUUGCCUUUGGAUGGGCCCGCGUUGGAUUAGCUAGUUGGUAGGGUAAAAGCUUACCAAGGCGAGGAUCCAUAGCUGGUUUGAGAGAAUGAUCAGCCACACUGGGACUAAGACACGGCCCAGACUCCUACGGAAGGGGGCAGUGGGGGAUAUUGGACAAUGGGCGAAGGCCUGAUCCAGCAAUGCCGCGUAAGUGAUGAAGGCCUUAGGGUUGUAAAGCUCUUUUACCCGGGCUGAUAAUGACGGUACCGGGAGAAUAAGCUCCGGCUAACUACGUG
rnacentral:rRNA from 1 species